CAGGAACUACCAGCUAUGGUUUUCAUGCAGGAACCACAAUGCCAGAUCCCCACAGCUCAUCUUUUCAUCUUGGUUUUGCACAGAAGAAGCAAAUGUACUUGGUGUGCUGGCUUUUUUCCAUCUUCUUCACCAUUUUCCUGAGGGAGGCACCGUAAUGGGUCCCGUAUUUACGGACAAUUCUGACCUCCUUGGUGGGUUUAGCCAUGUUGCUGCAAACAAGAGAUGGGAAGAGCACACUC